AACUAGGACAAGUUAGUGUUAUCUGUAGAAAGCUACUUUCUUGCAUGUAUAUCAGAACAGUUGCUCCUCGGUAAGCUAUUGAGACAAGCAAACUAAGCAAGCUAAUGCUGGUGAUGUCACUGCCUCUGCAACUGAACUAUAAAAUCCCUCUCUGAAUAGGGAUGGGCAUGAAACUGAGGACAUUGUGGAAAGGAUAUAUAUCAUUCAUCUGGCUGGCCGCUACUGGACAAAGCACCAUGAGGGAGAGGAGGCACUGCUUGGCAAAGCACUGUGAGGGAUAGUGGUACGCUCUGAUCAGCCUCUCACCACUGAACUCUUCUUGGAGCAGUCUUUGAUCUAAUAUGAUUCUUGCUGGCCUGGAGUUAGAAGAAAAGAAACCUGCAGCCUUUAGUGAAAAAAGGCUGGGCUCCUGGGGAGAGGCUGCAGUUGCAUUUAAAGAAAGAGCCUUGACAAGCCUCAUAGGUUCUGAAUGAUCUGGGACUGGCUGACGUAAAAAGAUUUAGGUCUAACUUGAGCAAGAAAGUGAAGCUCACAAGCAAGAUCCAACAUGAACUGAACCUCAGCAUAAAAUUUGGAAUAUGGAAAAGUGGAUGCUACUUACAUUGUCCUUUGUCUCCACAUCCGGGUAGGAGACUCUACAAGAAAAAUCCCUGUCAUCAAAAUUUGUAGAAGUCUCUGAGCAUCCACCAUUGCAAAGGAAGAGAAGCACCAUUAGGCAGUGCCUGGGAGGAGGGCCUUAGUGCAGAGAGUAGGCUGUCUCUGCCUUCUUGGUCUUGGGGCUGAACUAAAGCAGUCCUUGCUGUUGCUGUUGGGGUCCUUUUAUAUAUUUCAAACUUGUGCUUUAAAUAAAUUUACCAAAAACUUCUAACAUGAAAAGAAAUGCUACUGGCAGAGUGACAAGAAAAAAGGAUAAAAAUAUUUUCAAAGUGCCAGCUUGAUUCUUUAAGAAACAUAUUGCAUCUUUAAGCAACAUGGUAUGCAUUCCUUCUGCUCCACUCUGAAUAUCUACCCUGCUUCUUUGACCUGGCCUAACUUUUUAUUGCCUUCACCCUGUUUUAGCUCUCUCCAGUUUUCUAUCCUGUCCUAUAGCCUCAUUCUCUAUCCCCCCUGCCUUUUCUCUCAUUCAUCUUCUCCAUCAAUUCCAGAGCAAUAUUUCUAAGAUGUGAUGUCAAUCAUGUGCCUUCUUAUUUUUUUCAACUUUAUUGAAGCAUAAUUGGUUUACCAAAACUGCAUUUAUAUAAUUUGGUGAGUUUGGAUAAAUGUUUACACUCAUGUUACCAUCACCAGUAUCCAGAUAGUAAACAUCUCCAUCAACUCCAAAAGUUUUUU